rnacentral:ribozyme from 1 species
UAUUCAAGGACCAAAAGGAAAGAAGAAAAAAAGAAGAAAAAAAGGAAAUGAAAUGAAAUUACGCCAUCUCUGUAAUAGUACUUAAAAUGCUCUUUGACAU